GCGACCCCAGGUCAGGCGGGACUACCCGCUGAAUUUAAGCAUAUAAAUAAGC
rnacentral:rRNA from 4 species